rnacentral:rRNA from 1 species
UGAAGAGUUUGAUCAUGGCUCAGAUUGAACGCUGGCGGCAGGCCUAACACAUGCAAGUCGAACGGUAACAGGAAGCAGCUUGCUGCUUCGCUGACGAGUGGCGGACGGGUGAGUAAUGUCUGGGAAACUGCCUGAUGGAGGGGGAUAACUACUGGAAACGGUGGCUAAUACCGCAUAACGUCGCAAGACCAAAGAGGGGGACCUUCGGGCCUCUUGCCAUCAGAUGUGCCCAGAUGGGAUUAGCUUGUUGGUGAGGUAACGGCUCACCAAGGCGACGAUCCCUAGCUGGUCUGAGAGGAUGACCAGCCACACUGGAACUGAGACACGGUCCAGACUCCUACGGGAGGCAGCAGUGGGGAAUAUUGCACAAUGGGCGCAAGCCUGAUGCAGCCAUGCCGCGUGUAUGAAGAAGGCCUUCGGGUUGUAAAGUACUUUCAGCGGGGAGGAAGGUGUUGUGGUUAAUAACCGCAGCAAUUGACGUUACCCGCAGAAGAAGCACCGGCUAACUCCGUGCCAGCAGCCGCGGUAAUACGGAGGGUGCAAGCGUUAAUCGGAAUUACUGGGCGUAAAGCGCACGCAGGCGGUCUGUCAAGUCGGAUGUGAAAUCCCCGGGCUCAACCUGGGAACUGCAUUCGAAA